GGGCGUGGCUCCCCGCGCACGAACAAAGCCGGGGGCCCGGGGUGCGCCAGGGGGGCGCCCGGGACCUCUGCAGGGGUGCACAGGGGCGCACACGCGGGCCGGGAGCACCUAAGGGCCACCGGCUCCCCGCCAAGUGUCUCCAACUACCGGAGUCUGUGAGUUUGAAAACACGCUGCAUUUCGCCUCUGGCCUGGAGGCUUGGAGGUGUCCUGUUUUCUAUCGGCCAGUGCAGCGUGUGGACCCUGGGCCUGGGCACACAGGAGGCUCUUCUUGGGCAGCAAAGGGAUGCUGGAGCUGCUGCAGCCAUUUUGGCACCUUGAGGGCCACCUUCCUUGGCUCAAAAUGAAAAUUUCCAUCAUCUUUUGCAGAUGCUCUGAGAGCAUCAAGAAGCUCUAAGCUCCAGAAUAAAAAUUAAAUUAAUUGAAGAAA